CCAGGGUAGGACUCACAGGCAGCCAGUAGAAGCCCUUCAGGGGCUCCUGCUCACCCACUGCCCACGUAGCAGCACUGUCUUUGAUCCCCUCUGCAGGGUGGGGCUGCAGUCCUGUUGCCUUUGCCCUGGAGACAGCAGCCGGGAAAUUCAGCCUUGCCCUGAGCUGAGGGUCCUGCAUGUCUCCAACAGACUGGGCACCCCUCUCCUUGUCCCCAUGGCGACAGGAAGGUGCUCCAGGAGGUCGAGGCUCAUGCAGAGGCCGAUAAAGACCCCUCUGGACCUGGCCCUCCCAUUGGCUCCUGGGGAAGCUGACUCCCUUUCAAAGCCGGGGGCCCCUCCAUGGAGGUUGGCAUCUGCAGCCCCAGUUCUCUGCAGUCUGCCAAACCACCACAUAAUCCUCUCUGGUUUCCAGCACCGUCCUGCCCACGCAGGUGCUCAGGCCAGCCCCAAAGGUUUCUUGACACCCACUGCUCCAGUCCAGGCCCGGGCCUGCCCCCUCUGUUCCCAGAGGACAUCCAAGGGCAGGGAAAUCUGCGCUGCCCUCUUUCUGUGCUGGGCGAAGGACAAUGGGUGGGUGAGUCAGAGCUGCCUCCCCGAGGCGGGGGUAGGUGUGCCAGGGUGCGGUGGCUGUGGGGCAGGGCAGCAUCAGCCACCGGAGGGAGUGGCCUGUGGCCUAGGGCUCUAAACCCCUGCACUGCACGCCUGUGCUGCCCAGUCUGCCAGGCAGGGGCUUAGGAGCAGCCGAGGACCCGGCUCUGGGAUCCAGCCCUGCAUGCCAGGCUCCACACCUCGGUGCCUCUUUGUCUCCAUGCUGGAGACUCCUGGGGACUUCAGGGUGGCUUCACUCUGCCCCUCAGGGCCUCGCCUUGGUGCUGCCAGUGAGGAGGGUGACCUAGAGGCCUGGCCCGUCAUCGGCUCUGCUCUGGGGCUGAGUGAGGCUGGGGGGGUCCUCACUGUCCAGGCUGUCCAGAUACUUUAUAUGAGUGGGCUGAAGGUAAUUUUAUAAAAUAUUUUUAAUGACAUUGUGCUUAUACCUUUCGUGAUGUGGAAGUUUCCACGUGUGGCAUCCCAUCGCCAGGUAAUUCCUGAUUUUAGAAUGCUCUGGAUUUUGGGUUUUGGAUUUGGAGUGUUCCACUUAGACUAGGUGAGUGGGUCCAGUGGCAGCCAUGAGAGCACAAAACAGUGGAGAACCCUGGGGGUGGGGGAGACUGAGCUGUGGUUUAAACAGGUUGACGGGGGGGGGGGUCCCCUGGAAUAGGUGACUUACGUACUGGCCUAGAAAAGUGAGUCUGCAAGCCUCGAGCAUGGUUUUCCAGGCAGAGAGAACUCAAAUGGGUCUCGCCUGGUGUGGUUGGGACAGCAGGACACCGGGAUGGAGUCACAGGGGUAAGGAGGGGGACAGCGCAGGGAGAGUUGGUGGUAGGGCAGGCGCGUCCUGCAGGGACACGGGGAGCUCUUGGGGGUUCUAACAGAGGGGUGACGGCCCCUGCAGACUCCUCAGAUGUGUGCCAAGUAGGGUGAGGGAACACCAGACAAAGCAUGGAUCCAGGAGACGAGUGCUGGAUCUGGACCAAGGUAGGUGGCGCGGGGAUUGCCGGUGGAGGAUGCCCGUUGCCCUAGGGAGGCUGGCCGGCUGGCUGUGAUGGGGACACUGGGCAGGACUGAGGGAGCAGCAGGUUGAUUCAGCACCUGGAGUACCUCGAGCCCCUAAUUCUUUUGAAAGGAAGAGGUUGGGAGGAGGGGCCCCAUGCCACGUUGGCCAUGCUGGAGACGGGGACAAAGGCAUGGGCCAGGGAGAGGCCGUGGGCAUGGGCUGGGCUGAGGCCAGUGACCAAGUGACCAAGGCCUAGAAAGCCAGCUCCCUGGGGGGAGGAGUGGUGGGUCGGUGUGCAGAAGACCCCAGACUGUCCGUUCACCACUGGAAGCCAGGCUCAGUAGUUACCUUCUGCCUGGGUGUCCCUGGACCCUGGUCCCCGGGCUGUCAUAUGGUCCGCCUGCCAGGGAGACAGGAUCUGUGUCCCUGCAGCAGCUAUGGCACAGGGAAGCCUGGGGUGGAGCUGGGAGGCAGGCCUGGCUUCUCAGCUUGUCACCAAACAUGUAUCUCUGCAGCUCACUUGCCUGGAAUUCUCUCUAUCCGGGCUGGCCCUCCCCAGGGAGGUACAGAUUGCUCCAGCUCAGCCGAUGGCAGUAAAGGGCCUGAUCAAAACAAGGGAUGCUAAAAUGUGGGAAAAAAAGACUUUUUAAAAUGUUUAUAUUGGCGGGACAGGGGAGGAUAUUUGUGAAUUGUUUUCUUUCUCCAGUGGCUUUGUUAGUGUCAUGUGCUCCGGCUGAACGGAACCCUGGGGACCCGGCAGGAAAGGCUGAUGAGGGGCGGGGAAGGCUGCACGCAGGCCUGGGGAAAUGAGCUGUUGGGCUUCGCUGUCCCUCGGCCACUCUGUGACUGACCAAGCUGACAGUCUCCUCUCCCAUGGCGUCAACGGUCUGUCCCCGUCCGUCCAGGUUCUUGUAGCAUUCUUUUGACUCUGGACCAAUUUGGGACAAGAUGUUUCGACCAAGCCUGGGUAACGUGAAAGGCUCCAGAAUUCUUGUCUCCAGACUGGGAGGAGUAAAAUCACAAGGAGAUCUUGUGCCUCUGAGGGCUCCCCCAUACAGUUCCCUUCCUUAAUGAUGGGAUGUUUGACAGUGAGCUUGGCACAUGGCUCUCUGGACCAAUUUUUCCCAAUGGGAGUGAGUGAAUGGCAGUGUCACAGACAACUUCCAGGCUAGGAAAAAACUUUAAAAAGAAGAUGCAUAAGUCCUUUCCCUUCCUCUUCAUGCUGGCUGAAAUGUGUACACAAUGGCUGGAGCUACAGCAGUCAUUUUAGAACAUGUGGUGCUCAUGGAAACAGGACAUGUGGCCUGCGUCUCUGACAUGAUGGGGCCUCCUGCAGAACAACAGUCCUGAUGCACUAAGUAACUGCUGCCUUGUUUAAGCCACCGCUGUUAGGUGCUUUCACCCAUAACCAAAGAGCUCUGGGAAAUAGCCAAGUAAAAUAAUCCCAGGAAAAUGUAAAAAAGAGGAAGAGGCACCCAGAUCAGUGGGCUUGGCUCUCAUGGACUUCCAGAAAAUAACACAGAUUCAUGAACGCACACAGAGGCAGCUGUAGCUCGGUGCCUCCCUGAGGUCACUCGCCUGCUCCAUUGCAUGAGGACACAGCAAUCAGAGCUGAUUCCAUGAACCAGGAAGUGAGGAACACAGAACCUGCCACACCGCUGUCUUGGACUUCUGGGCCUGCAGAACUGUGAGGGAUGAAGUGCUGUUGUUUCUAAGCUGUCCAGUCUGUGAUAUCUCAUUACAGCACCCCGAGAUGACCUAGGCAUCCUUUAGGGAACGAGGAAAGCUCGAGAGAAGGUUAGCGACCUCCGGGAGAAGCCCUCGUGCACUUGGUGUUUCUGUGUAGGUGACAGCAUUGGCUUUAGUGACGGCUGCCAGUUGCCAUGACUCAGCGUUCACUGCAGAACUCGAGCCAGCCUUCCCAGGAAGGAGAGAGGCCUGCUAGGUAAACAGCCUUGGGAACACAAAGAGCAGGAGCCUCGCCAGCUGCCAGCCUGCACCAGCUUUGUCUUUUAUCCGUGUGUGUAAACAGGUAAGAGGAGCAGAAGGGCAGCUGUCCCCAGAAGAACCUGAUCAGAGUCUAAACUAACACCUCAGAGGUACGUGAGGAGAGAUUGCACCCACAGACCAUGAACAGGAAACUAGAAAUGAUCUGCAAUCAAGACAAAACUGAGAGAUGAAAAAUAUGAUUGGCAGAUCUUUUUUAAAAAAUUAGAAAAAUCAUCAAAGUAAUUCCCUGACUUUAGGUUAGGAAGAUAAAAAGACGGGAGGGAUGAGAGGACAGCGAGGGAUGUGUGCCGCCAUCCGGGGAUCCCCAGGGUGUGUGACAGGCUUUGAGAAGAACAGACAGAACCGAGGGAGGUAUUGGCUCCCAUUGCUCGUGCAAUGCAGCGGUGCAGGCCCAGUGUCUUAAAGCAAUGUAGAUCAUGGUCUGCAGCUAUGGUGCUCCAGAGUCCCACCAGGAAGGUGUCAGCAGGACUGUCCCCUGCGGAGGCUGCCGCAGAGGAGCUGCUUCCUCGCCUUCUCCAGUAUCUAAGGGUCAUGUGCAUUCCUUGGCUCCCGACCCCUUUCUCCAACUCCAAGGCCAGCACAGCAGCCUUUUCAGAUGUCACUGACCCCUGCAGAGGUGCCAUCGCGUUCCUUCUGUCCCUCUGCACCCAUGGUUCCGACUUUGACCCGAUUUUUUCCUUCCUAGCAAACCCUGUGUGAUUAUAUGAGCUCACCAGAAUAAAACAAGAAACUCUCCAUGUCAAGAUUUUUAACUUAAGCACAUCUUCAAAGUCCCCUUCCCAUAUAGGAUAAUGUAUUCACAGGCUUCAGUGAUUAGUGUGUGACAUGUUUGGAGGGUGAUUAUUGUGUAUACUACAGUGGGAAAUAAAAUAGUAAUAUGUUUCAGAGUUAAACAAGAAGUGGGGUUGUUAAAUGAAAAUUUUCCUAAGUUGCUUAAUAGCAUGAUUAAAAAAACAACUGCUCUCCAAAUACAUUGUUUGGCAUUUUUAGGAAGAUAAGAGGAGAGAGGUCGCUGGCCAAGGAACGAGAUUAGGAGAGUGAUACGCUAAAGAGAUCCUUCCUCAAGGAUCAAGGGGAAAUUCUGUUCAAUUGAAAAGACACAGCCAGCCAAACUAUUAGAUAAGGAAGCAAAUGUUUUUUCCAUAUCCACUUUUAUUUCAAGGAGAAAGAAAAGAAGAAGAAAAAAAGAAACUAAAAUAAAAAUUCAAAAACAUCAAUCAAGGGGUGACAAUGUAUGUACAUUGCACAUUGUCAUCCCCAAAUCAUUCACCCAGAGCACAAGACAUCUGCAUUGAAUGGCACAAAUCUUUCUUCUCAGUGAACUCAGAGAAACCAGAAGUAUAACUAUCUUAACUAUUUUUAUAUACAUGUACAUACUCAUCUACAUAAGUUGUUUUUAGCUUCUCACACUAAUGAGACAAUACAGUGUUUACUUAUGUGCAUCUUAUUUUUUUCACUAAUGAGAAUGUUCUCAAGAUGCAGCCAUUUACUUAUAAAAGUCUCUAGUUUAUCCUUGCUUAUGGUUGAGUAGUACUUGAUUGUAUAAAAAUAUCACAUCUUUUUUAUCCAUUCCUCAGUUGAUGGGCAUUUAGAUUGUUCCCAAGCUCUGGCUGUUACAAACUGUGCUGCUAUAAACAGGUGUACACAUGUAUCACUGUGAUAUGAUGUUUUUAAUUCUUUGGGAAGAUACCCAGAAGGGGAAUAGGUGGAUUGAAUGGGACCUCUAGUCCUAGUUUUUUAAGGAAUCUCCACACUGAUUUUCACAGUGGUUGUACCAGUCUACACUCCCACCAACAGUGGGGAAGUGUUCCUUUUCCCCACAGCCCCUCCAGCAUUUGUUAUUGAUUGAUUUCUUGCUAAUGACCAUUUCACCUGGGGUGAAAUUUUUGGUGUCAUUUUAAUUUGCAUCUGUUGAAUGACCAGUGAGGUUAAACCUUUUAAAAAAUUUAUAUAAAUUAUAAAUAUAGUAUAUUUAUAUUAUAUGAAUUAUUAUAUAAAUUAUAUAAAUAUAUAUUUUUAUAUUUAUUUGCUGUUUGUAUUUGUUCACCUGAGAAGUAUGUCAUCAUCUCAGAUGCCCA